rnacentral:rRNA from 1 species
UACGGAGGGUGCAAGCGUUAUCCGGAUUUAUUGGGUUUAAAGGGUGCGUAGGCGGUUUGAUAAGUCAGCGGUGAAAUAUUUCAGCUUAACUGGAAGGGUGCCGUUGAUACUGUCAGGCUUGAAUUUAGUUGCUGUGGGUGGAAUGUGUGGUGUAGCGGUGAAAUGCAUAGAUAUCACACAGAAUAUCGAUUGCGAAGGCAGCUCACAAAGCUAAAAUUGACGCUGAUGCACGAAAGUGUGGGGAUCAAACAGGAGUAGAUACCCAGGUAGUCCACACGGUAAACGAUGAUAACUCGCUGUCGGCGAUACAUAGUCGGUGGCCAAGCGAAAGCGAUAAGUUAUCCACCUGGGGAGUACGACCGCAAGGUUGAA